rnacentral:rRNA from 1 species
AGCAGCCGCGGUAAUUCCAGCUCCAAUAGCGUAUAUUAAAGUUGUUGCAGUUAAAAAGCUCGUAGUUGAAUUUCGGGGUUAGUAGGUUGGUCAUGCCUCUGGUAUGUACUGGUCUCACUGAUUCCUCCUUCCUGAUGAGCCGUAAUGCCAUUAAUUUGGUGUUGCGGGGAAUUUGGACUGUUACUUUGAAAAAAUUAGAGUGUUUAAAGCAAGCUAACGCUUGAAUACAUUAGCAUGGAAUAAUGAAAUAGGACGUUUGAUUCUAUUUUGUUGGUUUCUAGGAUCGACGUAAUGAUUAAUAGGGAUAGUUGGGGGCAUUAGUAUUCAAUUGUCAGAGGUGAAAUUCUUGGAUUUAUUGAAGACUAACUACUGCGAAAGCAUUUGCCAAGGAUGUUUUCAUUAAUCAAGAACGAAAGUUAGGGGAUCGAAGACGAUCAGAUACCGUCGUAGUCUUAACCAUAAACUAUGCCGACUAGGGAUCGGAUGAUGUUAAUUUUUUAAUGACUC